rnacentral:lncRNA from 12 species
UAAGAUUUUAUUUAUUCAUUUGACAGAGAGAAAGAGUACACAAGCAUGGGGAGCAGGAGAAGGAGAAGCAGACUCCCCGCUGAGCAGGGAGCCCAGCACAGCGCUCAAUCCCAGGACCCUAAGAUCAUGACCUGAGCUGAAGGCAGAUGCUUAACCAAUUGAACCACCCAGGUGCCCCAAACAUAUCUUUUUUAGAAAGCCUUUGUUCCCACUCUGGCUUACCUUAAUAGUGGGCUUCACUUCAUUUGUUACCUUAAAGGGGAGGAGUUGAAGGAAGAGUGAAACUCUUCCUGUUCUAGUACCUUCUUCAUUCCACGGUUGUAUAUUUUCUUAAUAAAAUGAUUUUGCUUGCAUUUUUUAUUUUCUUUUUUAAAGAUUUUAUUUAUUUAUUCACGAGAGACACAAAGAGAGAGGCAGAGACACAGGCAGAGGGAGAAGCAGGCUCCUCGCAGGGAGCCCGAUGCGGGACUGGAUCCCGGACCUCAGGAUCACGCCCUGAGCUGAAGGCUCAACCGCUGAGCCACCCAGGCGUCCCUGCUUGCAUUUCUAAAUGGCUGCCAGAACAUCAGUAAACAGAAAAGAAAUUACUAGGUCACCAUCUAGUUUCCUUCAAUGCCAUCAUGUAAAGAUUACUAGGAAGCACUGUCGGAAUUUAGCUGCCCGCCCAGUGGGUGAGUUAAUGUUGCCUUUCAUUUUUCUUUCAUUUUUUGUUGAAGUAGGCUCCUUACCCAAUGUGGAGGCUCGAACUCACAACCCCAAGAUCAAGAGUCGCUCACUCUGCCAACUGAGCCAGUCAGGCCUCACCCCGGCUUCCCCUGUUUUCAUUUUUCUUAAGUUUUCUUUGCUGUUCAUUUAUUAAAGAAGCAGACAUUUAUUGAGUUCCUAGCAUAUGCCAGGCACUUGGGAUUCAGAAAAAGUAAGCUACAGUUUUUACCUUCUAGAAAUUUAUAGUCUUUUCCUUUUUUAAAAGAUCUUAUUUAUUUGAGAGAGAGAGGGCAAGAGAGAGCACAAGGAGGGAGGAGAGAGAGAAAAUGAUUCUGUUGAUCAGGGAGUCCAACGCGGGGCUCCAUCCCAGUCCAGUACCCUGGGAUCAUGACCUGGGCCGAAGGCAGAUUCUUAACCGGCGAAGCCAGGUGCCCCUAGAAAUUUAUAGUCUUUCUGGUAAAAUUGAUAGGCA